rnacentral:rRNA from 1 species
UAAAGCACUUUCGAGAAAAAUGCCCAAUCUCAUCUGAUCUUGGAAGCUAUGCAGUGUCGGGAAUGGUCAGUGCUUGAU